rnacentral:lncRNA from 12 species
AUACAGACUUGUUUCUUUUCCUGUUCCACCUGAAUCUUACAUACCAAUCGUCCUGGGACUCAGAGAAGGAUUUCCUUCCGUUUAGUCACGAAUACAUUGCCCCUAAACUGUGACUUGCUGUGAUAUCGGCUCCAGUGGGCUCAUCUGCUGGCCACAGAGCCUCCUGAGCAGAGGCAGACUUGUGGCAUCCCUGUGAGGGCCUCCAGCACUGGUCCUUCAUGAGCCGCAUUCUUUGGGACAGAGGCACGUAUGUUUGCUUCACUGUGGAGUACCUCCUCUUCCUCCUUUGAAUUUGGUGUUUCCUCUUUCAUUUUUCCCUUCUCUCUCAUUUUCUGCCCUUAUGUAACCACGUUUUCACAGAGCCUGGCUGGAUGGGCUCAGCUGAGGCCCGCGGUGGGUGCGCUGUGGACAGGCCUGACCCGGCCCUGUGUGCGCGGGGCGGGCCCUCAUCUCUCAGAAGCCACACCUGCAGCCCUCCUUCUACCAAAGCCCUGCUGCCUGCGCCCAGUACAUUAACAAAGGGCCCAAAUCAGCUGCCUGAGCAGCUGUAUCGUCUGACACGCCUUAAGGUACCCUCUGUGUCCACAUGGAGACACAACACACGGCGCAGCAUCUCAACACUCAGCGUGAACUCUGCCAUGGCAAACUGUUGGAGUCAGAAGGUGCCACGGUGUAGAGCUGAGAUAAGGGAAAAAAGAAGACCUCCAAGAAAGCAAGUUUUGGCUUGUUUCUUCUGGUCAAUUCUUGCCCAGCUCUGCUUCAGAGCCAUUCAGAUGAGAUUUUAUAAAAGGAAGAAAGAAGAAAUGUUGCUAAAUUGCUUUGAGAAAGGGAAUUCAGUGAAAGGAGAAGUCUUGGCUUUCCAACUCCCAACCCGUUUUCAUCCAGACAUCCAUUCCCUGCUGUUGCAGAACUGGUAUCAAAAAUUAGACUAUGCCAGAGCAGUACCAAGAGGAAGAAAAAUAUGUUUUCUACACCCUACCUUUCAUUCUGAAGAUUCUGCAAUCUAACUGAGUACCAGAUAGGCAAUGCUUCUCAAAUCAGCUUCCCCACCAAGAAAAGGUCAAUGGAUCUGCAGUCUGAUUCCAAGUAUCUCAUCAUGAACUGGUCCACAAAUCUAGUUCAGUACCACAGAUCCAGCAGAUGAGGUCAGAUGGAAAAAGAUAAGAUGGAAAGAAGUUAUUCUUUACUAAUGAUAAAAUUCUUGAACAUCUGUUAUUUUAACACACAAUAAAAUAUAAUUCACUCAAGGCA